rnacentral:lncRNA from 1 species
AUGAACCUCCAAGGAGGGAGGAGAUGCUCUCUCCAAGGCUUCCCUGCAAUGCCCUGGCCCUCAGCAGGCUCCGUCUCUGCUGCCGAGAGGGGACUGCAGAGCCCCCGCUGCAGGACCCCAGGUCUUACCCCGGUGUGUGGGCCCCGGUCUGCGGGCCCACUCAGGACCACGAGCUGCAGCGGGGAGCCGCCGAGAUGCGCUGGCGAACAGCCUGGCCUGGGCCGGGCAGCUGCUGCCCGAGCUCCGCAGAAACGCCCGCUCCUGUCGCCCUGUUCCCCUGGGGCGGACCCCUCUGACCCACGCAGGGGCACUGAGAGGAACGGCGUGGGCUCGGAAUUCCUGGGGAGCAGCCCGCGGGCAGGGGCCGCCAUGGGGAUGGAUCUGCGGUCCCUCGGAAGCCCCAGGCACAGUUCCCACUGUUGGAACAAGGGCCGGUUCUCUGACUCGGGGUUUGCGUACUGUGGGUUCCAGACUCUGCGUAUUUCCACACGAGACGAGCCCUGGCUGCGGGGACUGGGGUGGGGACUUGGGUGUGACGGGACACUGUGGUUCUGUGCAUUAAUUCAUGAGGAAGGCCAGUCGCAGGAAGAGUCAGUCCACCCUUCACGGGCCACCAGGAACCCCGAUCGACAUACGCGGAUGUCCUGUGUGUGCACAGGUCUAGCGUGUCUGCGGCUGCAUGGAGAGGUCGCACAUCUUCAUGGCGCUGACUUUUGGGAGGGGGCGCCCCUCGAACUUCUGCUGGAAUCAACCCCAGAAUCCGUAGGAGAGCUUUGGAUGACAGAACACUUCACAAUCCCGAGACGACUCGCCGGGGGAGGGGACAUCCCCACACCGAGUCCCAGGCACGAGACACCACUCUGCACAGCAGCUCAGGGUUCUCAGCCACCUGGUGAUGGGGGACGUGACAGGGACCAUGGAAGCCAGCUGCUCUGGACACGGCCAGGAGAGUCCUCUCGCUCAGGAAGGCCCCGGCCAGACUUUACUCCCGUGGCCACCUAUGGGAUCCCAGCAUGGGUGUCUCUGUCCCGGGGCCCAUCCCUGAGCCCACGGGGAGCCCCCGACAGGGGCAGCUGGGGAGAGACAUGGACUCCAUCCUGGCACCUGGGAAGGCCGGCUGAUCCCAGGUGUGCUCGGUCAAGAAUCAUCAUCGUGGUCAUGAGAGCAGCUCACACGAUGGGAACGCCUUCCUCUCCUGACAUCCUAGCACGCAUUCUGGGAGGGCUGCACGGCUACUGUGUCCCCGUCCCAGAGGAAGGCUGGAGGCAAGGAGGUCACUGCUCCCGUCCACGGGCUCAAGGGAACGGAGGACCUGGUCUCAAGCCUCCCGGACCCUCCCGUCCAGGGUGCCGACCGUCCUGCUGCAGUAGACCUCCCGGUCUGAGACCCAAGCACGUUCCCUGUGCGUCCGACUCACACAGGACGCUGAAGCCAAGAAGGUUCUAG